rnacentral:lncRNA from 1 species
CACACAGGGAGAAUGCCAUGCGAUGACAGAGGCAGAGACUGGAGUGAUGCUUCUACAGGUGAAAAAACUCCAAGGACUGCUGGCAACCAGCAGACGCUAGGGAGAGGUGAGAAAGGAUCCUCUGCUAGAGCCAUCAGACCGAUUGUGGCCCCGCUGACACCUUGAUUAUGGACUUCUGGCCUCCAGAACUGUGAGAGAGGAGAUUUCUGUUGUUUUAAGGCACUCAGCUUGUGGAAAUUUAUUACAGCAGCUCUCGGAAACUAAGACAGUUAUUGUUGCUUUGUGAGAGUCGCUAAACCUCAAAUACAACAGGAGGAGUUUUAGAUACUUCAAUACACCCCACCCUAGCUCUCCAAAGUCCACCUGACUUUUCAAGCUCAGCUCAACGCUUAUCAUUUUCUUGACGCUUGUCGAAUUUUACCUUGUAUCCUGGAGCAUCAGGGACCUGUCAACCUCAAUCAUUCCCUGGAUUCCAAAACCACAGAUGGGAAUCUCUGGUGCCACCUUUUCUUGGCAGCAGGGAAAGAUUCACCCUCACCUUUCACCAUCAUCAGGGCUUGAGGGCCAUGCCCUAGGGCCUGGAAACAGCCUUUUGCACAAGCAGGAGGCUGUAACGUGGCCUUCCUUCUGACCCGCCCUCCCAGAGCCCUCAGAGCCUGUGGCGUGUCAUCCUUCACCCCCAUGGCACACUGCUGCGGUUUUCUCACAAGGCCGCACACAGCGAACCAGGGUGGGGCAGCAAUUAGUGCAGAAUCCUUGCAGAAGGGUGGGGAGGACAUGACACAAAGAAGCCACAAGCUCCUGGGCACAGAGACUGAGGAGCGCAACAGGCGUCGCCUGAGGCAGGCCAGGAGGAGGUUCUGUGCCCUGCGUCAGGUUGCACGACUGAGGGAGAGUGACUCUUGAUAAUUGCUGGGGAAACACCACUAUAUCUCACCCACACUGCUUUCACUGUUUCUCCCUCCUUGCCAUCAAGACCAUCUACUUCUGGCUUGAAACCACCAUUAUUGAAAUAAUGAGGGCUGGGAUGCAGAGCAGAAGGAUGAGGUUUGAACCUAACUUCUCUGACCUUCUCACUAGGAAAUGAUCCUCCACCUGUUCUUCCUACCCCUGGAAAUUGUGCAAAUGAUACCAGCCCUGAGGUGGCACAGACAGGGCGGCAGCUUGGAGUAGAAGCAGCCGCUGCUCUCAGGGCCAGAGCCACCAGAAGAAGACUUGAACACAGGGGAGGAGGAGAAGGUGAGGUGGGGGCACUCCAGAAGCUUCUAGAUCCUUUGAUGGGAGAGAAGAGGUUAUGAGCCCUCUCCAAACAGAAGAUCCAACUGGUGAGGCUAUUCUCUGACCUUCCUGCAUCACUGCUUGUAAGAUUGGCCUGCAGAGGUGCCAGGUGGCCAGGCAGACACUGUGCUAGUUAGACUCUUUCAACAUGUCAUAACCAGUGACCAAUGCCAGCUUCUCCACCAACCAGUCUAUGAUCUACUCUGUAUACCAGAGGCUAUGAGCUGUCAAAUUGAGCUGGAAGAUGUUUCAUUUGGUUCAUCCUUCUCCCACCCAAGCUCCCUGCCAUGUGCUAGUCUGUUCUACAUGUGGUAGUUACUGUGGGUUGACGUCUUCAACCUCCGCUCCUAUCCUGUUCUAAUGUGCCUUCCUGCAAGGAAGGAGCUGGAAGGCUAAAGUUUGCAAGACUUCUUGGCAGCUAGGGUUCAGGGUGAGACUUGGGGCCUACAGACUAGAUACAGGCCUGGGUAACUCGGAUCCUGAACAGAACGGAAUGUACUUGGAGAGAGAGUCAAUCUACUUGCAAGUACCAAUCGAGGCACAGGUGGCAUGGCCCUCGACCACCAGCUGUGUCGGCAACUUCUUGUUCAGGAAAGAGGUACGGGCUUCCUCGGCAGCCUGGAUCUGUGGUAUGAUUUCAGACAUUGCCCCUGUCAGUUUAUUGCACAGUCUUUUUUCAUCCUUCCCAACAAUUCUGAAGGCUAGCUAUAUCCCCACAUAAAUCUCCUGCUUAGAGUAGAUGCCAUUAUCUGCAACUAAGAGCCAGGACCAAUCCAGUGGUUGUGUUCUGCAGAUCCCCGAGAUUGAACACAUCUGCAGUGCCCCCGGCAAGCUCUGGCUCAGAGAGCCAUCCUAGAAACGUUUUUGUGGAGUGAUUUUCCUGAAAAAAUGUAUCACCUGGCAUCAGCAGGUUGAUAUGUUAUGACACGUCUAGUGCCCAGUGGAAAUAAAUAUAACCAAGAUUUCAAAAAUGCAUCAUUUUGCCUCAGCCCUACAAGUUGAAAAUAGUUUAAUUUACAGAGGCAAGUAGAAAAGAAAAAAAUCACAAACAUAAAGGAUGGCACAAAAGUGGCAUCUGAAGAGGCUGGUUUUCAUUUAUCUUUUACAUUAGGUAGUCAUUCAGGCUUGCCAUGCACACCUUCACUGCCUUUUACAGGUGGAAAUUCACAAUUCUAAUGGGGAGGGGGCUGCAGAUCAUUUCAGGCUCUCAUGUCAGACAUCACCCAUAUUUGGGUUAUUUCCAGAGCAAAUACCAUUCUAAUGAUUAUCUUCAUUACUUCUACUAAGUACAUAAAUGUAAUUUCUUCUGCUGUGAAUACCACCCAUGUGGGGUAAAAACAAGUGACACUAGAUAAUUUUGUAAGAUUCUUCUCUGAUAUUUUUAGGAAGGCGUUUUGAAUUUGUAAGUUGUGUGAGACAGCCUGUCGUUGGGCAGGGAAGUGGGCCUGCUUGCAGGAGAGUCAUCCCUGCACGGAAAAAAGGGUUUCUAUCCUGGGCCUGGCUGCGUCUACCCUGGCAACGCUGACGCACAGAAUGUUACUGGAAUUGGAAAAGGCAGCCUGGGGAGACUCAGUGCCUGAGUCUGGACCCAUAAGAACGAGGCGCCCAUUCGGGGUCUUUGCGUCCAUACCCCAGGUCUUUCAUGAGCCUGAAGCCACCUAUGAAAAGAUGAGACGACCGUGGGUUUGGGGACAGAGAGGUGUCUUUUUGACAUGAAUCAAUAGAAAAGAAAGGAUGACUUCCUCCCUGAAAACCCUGAAAACUUAACUGUCUUAUGGAUUGAAAAUUGGACGAAAUUCUGCUUACGGUUAGGAAUUUAAUAUUAAAAAUUGCCAAGCCACUAAUAAUCAUCACAGAAAACUGCCAUAUGGAAAAGUUAUCAACAUGUCCUUUUUGGAACUAGAAAAUCACUGCAAUGUUUUUAAGUAUCCAAAAAAAAAUCCAUUAAACAUGUUUCUGGGCGUUUUUCCUCCCGUUGGGGUGAGAACAGCAUUCCCAUUAACAGCAGCGGGAACUAUUCAUGUUCUCAGAAGGGGCAAUGGGCUAAUUGCAGAUGGAGGAUAUAAAUUCAACUCAAGAGCCCAAGCCCGGCUCCCACGCCCACGCGGGCCACUCUUCUCGUUCCCGCACUCCCUGGAAGCAUCACUUCUUUAUUCCAGAAGCCCUAGUGGGUCACCCGGGCCCCACACACAAAGGAGCUGGAGAACUGUCAUUUCGCAGCUGUUGUGGUAACCUUCCCCCAGGUCUGACUGUUAGGGAGUGGGCGGUGCAGGCAGUUGUGGGGGCGUGUGUCAGGUUCGUAGUCAAACUUCAUGCUUUAAAGUUGGCCUUUUCUUAUUUUCUUUCUAUGGCUACAGCACACUGCCACUGGCUUUGAUCCACCUCUUCAACUCUCAUCGGUUAAGAGUCGAGGUGUGAUACUUAAUAAUAGCUUAAAGGGCCAUCAGUCAGAGAGAGAUGCUCAUUGGGGUGAGAGGCCAGGCGAUGAAGAUGCACACCCCAGCCUCCACCACCUACUGAGACCCCGAGAGUCUGUGGUGGUCUGUGUUCUCAGGCGGAUGUGGCCAUGACAGCCAGUGGUUGCUGAGGGAACAGCGCGGCUCUGCUCCUCUUGGUUCUUGCAUUAUUCCACGUUUCAGUUCUAUUCAAAGGAAAGUGUGCGAAAUUUCCCUGUUCUUCCCCCACGGAGCUACAAAUGCGGCUGGGUGAGAGGGUUGCCAGGAAAAUCCGGGGAACGAUGACAGGAGAAGGCCACAGCCGUUCCGGGUGGAAAAGUUCUCCAGUGGGCUGCUCAGAACAGAUGGCAGAUAAUUGACAUCUGAUGGCAAAGUCCUGCCCCAAGAGCGAGCGUCCCAACCUCAGGGACCAGCUGGGGGAUGCUGUGCUUGGAACCAAGAACAGAGCCUGGGCUGCAAUUCACCCAAGAACGCCUGUUCCCAGGGCCCGGAAGCCCAGGCUUCCACGCCGCCCGCUCAAACCUCUGAUGGUCUAGAUUUCUUAACAGCAGUGCACAAGGAUUCUUCGGGCUGAAUACAGGCUACACUUGGUCCCUUUAUUUCUUUCUGGUGAAAGCUCAGCAUCUGUUUUAUGAAAAAAUCAAACGACAGGAGGGGAAGUUAAGGGAGAAGAGGGAAGGAAAAGGACCAGCACUAGAUUGCCAUUGAUUGCUUUGGAUGAAAGAACAAUAUUGCUCCUGAGAGUGGGGUAUCAAAAUUGUGCUUAGACCAAAAAAUAUUGAAAACACUUGUUGCUUUUAUGGGGCUACUAAACACACAUCCACGGGAUGAAACCACUGUCUCCUGGGGAGGAGCUGAAAGCCAUUCCCUUCUCAGAGCUCUUCUUGAUGCCUCCCUCAGGAGGAACGUGCACCCCUCCUUUGUGCUUCCCUCGCCCCGGCCCCUGUCCCCUGCCUCAGGACAGGCUGAGUCACCUGUGCAGCUCAGCAGUGGACCCUCAGUGACUCUUCUGAUCUCGUCACUUCUGAGAAGAUGGAGGAAUUUCCAUGUCUCUGCCCACAGCAAUCAAAGGAGGCUGCCACCAAGAAAUCAAGGAAACAAAGAGAAGGUAUUCAGCAUUCAUUUUUAAAAUAUAUGUGCGACACCCAUUAGGAUGGCUAUUACUUAACCAAAAAAAACAGAAAUUAGUAAAUGUUGAUGAAGAUGUGGCGAAAUUGGAACCCUCGGGCAUUGCUGGUAGGAAUGUAAAAAGGUUCAGCUGCUGUGGAAAAUAGCAUGGUAGUUCCUCAAAAAAUUAACCAUAGAAUUACCAUAUGAUCCAGCAAUUCCACUUCUGAGUACAUGCCCAAAAGAAGGGAAAGCAAGGUCUCGAAGAGAUAUUUGUAGCCCCUCGUUCACAGCAGCAUUAUUCACAGCAGCCAAAAGGUGGAAGCAACCCAAGUGUCCAUCAAUUGAUGAAUGAAUAAACAAAAUAUGGAUACACAUACAAUGGAAUAUUAUUCAGCUUUGAAAAGGAAAGAAAUUCUGACACAUGCUGCAACGUGGAUAAACCUUGAAAACAUUAUGCUGAGUAUAAUAAGCUGUCAAAAAAG